ensembl:lncRNA
AGGAAGGGCGUAUCAUUGGACAGUGCUCCCAAGGAAGGAGGGGCCGUGGAGGGAGUCCACAAUGGAGGCGUGGCCUCACAGCGGGCGGGAGAGUCCUGGAGAGCUAGGCCUCUGAUAGGGCAGAGUUUCGGAAGAGCGGGGCCUAUGACUGGGUGUGACCUGGGGGGCGUGUAUUCCUGUGUGGCAGAGACCUAUGGUUGGAUAAGAAAGCGAAGAGGCGGAGCCUGAGGAUGUGGAGUCUGUCACGAGCGAAGAUUUUCCUACAGACAGCCCAGGGUUCGCGUGGCCGGAAAAACCGGUACAGAGCGACCCACCAUAAGAACCGAUUCAAUUGGGUUCUGACUGAUUGACCGAUGGGCCUACCCUUUGCCACUGACUCUGACUCACUGACAGUGACUGACAUUGACUAACAGACGAGCAAGUGAGUUGCUUCAAGAGCAAGAGAGAAUGAGCCCACAUUUGUACAGCACUUUCGGAAGGCACCUGUUGGUUUUGGUCCAGAAAAGGAACGGGAAGCUGAGACCUGGCUGAGUGUGAGCCACUCUUCCCUCCAUCCAUUUAGUGUGAAUUGAUACACCUGGACCGGAAGAAGGUCAUGCCUCUUUCACGUCAGCGCUCAGAUGCUCUUUUCCAUUUAGAGAAUCCACCACCAAGUGGCGGUACCUGGACAUGGUCGUGCAGCUGGGAAGAGGUGGCGCGUUGGUAGCGUUGUUCAGUCUCUCGGUCGUAUCCGACUCUUCCUGACCCCGUGGACUGCAGCACGCCAGGCUGCUCUGUCCUUCACUAUUUCCCAGAGUUUGCUCCAGCUCAUGUCCAUUGUGUUGAUGACGCCAUCCAACCAUCUAAUCCUCUGUCGGCCCCCUUCUCUUGCACUCAACCUUUCCCACCAUGAGGGUCUUUUCCAGUGAGUCAGCUCUUAGCGUCAAGUGGCCAAAAUAUUAGAGCUUCAGCUUCAGCAUCAGUCCUUCCAAUGAAUAUUCAGGGUUGAUUUCCUUUAGGACUGACUGGUUUGAUCUCCAUGCUGUCCAAGGGACUCUCAAGAGUUCUCCCGCAACACAAUUCAAAAGCAUCAAUUCUUUGGCGCACAACCUUCCUUGUGGUCCAACUCUCAUAUCUGUACAUGACUACUGGAAAAACCAUAGCUUUGACUAUAUGGACCUUUGUGGGGAAAAAGUCUCUGCUUUUAAAUACGCUGUCUAGGCUUCCUUGGUAGCUCAGUUGGUAAAGAAUCCACCUGCAAUGCAGGAGACCUGGGUUCGAUCCCUGGCUUGCGAAGAUACCCUGGAAGAGGGCAUGGCAACGCAGUCCAGUACUCUUGCCUGGAGAAUCCCCAAGGACAGAGGAGCCUGGCAGGCUACAGUCCAUGGGGUCUCAAACAGUUGGACACUACUGAGUGACUAGGCACAACACAGGUCUGUCAUAGCUUUUUUUCCAAGGAGAAAGCAUCUUUUAAUUUCAUGGCUGCCGUCACCAUCCUCAGUGAUUUUGGAGACCUAGAAAAGAUCUGUCAUUGUUUCCACUGUUUCCCCAUCUAUUUGCCAUGAAUUGAUAGGACUGGGUGCCAUGAUCUUAGUUUUUUGAAUGUUGAAUUUUAAGCCAUUUUUUUUCACUCUCUUCUUUCACCUUCAUCAAGAGGCUGUUUAGUUCCUCUUUGCUUUCUGCCGUUAGGUAUCAUCUAGAUAUCUAAGGCUGUUGAUAUUUCUCCUGGCAGUCUUGAUUUCAGUUUGUGUUUCAUUCAGCCCAGCAUUUCACAUGGUGUUCUCGCUGGUACCAUGGGGAGAGUUAAUGUACGUUGCCUUUGCCCUAUUGAAACCUUUGUCAUUACUAAAACUGUGAUAAGGUCUAUGGGACUUGGAAGGGAGGCAGCAUACACUCCCUGGCUUCAGGGUUGGACCGAUCUGCGUUCUCUGUCCCUCAGGAGCGCCACCUGGAGGUGAGAAGAAGUGUUGAGGGCUUCCACUCUGGCUUUGUUGGAAAUGCCUUUAUUUGAAGAGGAGCAAACUAGUUAACAGGUUGGGAUAUACAGGUUUGCUGCUGAGAAGGUCUAAGUGUUUCUUAAUUGUAGCUGAAAUCAUGGAGUUAGACAAGGGCACCCAGAGAGAAUAUGUCAGGUGGGCACAUCAAAACUCCAUAGUCAGAUGGAGGAAAAAGAGCCCUUAAAAGAGACUGGGCAGGACUGGUCAACAGGUCAGAAGAGGACCUGGAGUCGCUUGGAGAAGACAGGUGGAGUAAGCGGUGCUGAAUGCAGCAGAGAACUCAGGCCAGGCAGACCAGAGGUGUGCUGGAACCAGCUUGGACUGCCUGGCAAGAGCCAAUUGUCAAAUUUUCAGGAAUUUUGGAGCUAGUCGUUAAACACGGUCAUUUUAAGACUGAUUGUGUAAACUUACAAUAAACUGGACUAUAUUAACAUAAAGCAUUGGAGAAGGAAAUGGCAACCCACUCCAGUGUUCUUGCCUGGAGAAUCCCAGGGACGGGGGAGCCUGGUGGGCUGCCGUCUGUGGGGUCGCACAGAGUCGGACAAGACUGAAGUGACUUAGCAGCAGCAGCAGCAGCAUCCCCUUUGGAUCCUAUGGACCCCAUUUCACAGCUGGGGAUGCUGAGGCUGGGGGAGAAGAGUCAAGGACUUGCCUACUGAGGACAGCAUGGAGUCAGGAUGCGAACCUGAGACCCUGACCCUGAGACACCGUCCUGCCUCUGGGGGAGUCAGAACUCACCUGCCCUCCCCCGAGGGGAUAUGUCAGAAGAGAUUCAGAAUGGCCAGAGGCUCAGAUGGACAGGCAAUACUCAGGGACAAGACAGGGGGCCCACAAACCUUUGAGGCUGGAGAACGGAGAGGUCUCUAGGUCUCCAAGGGGAGGGAGCUGACCCGCUUGUGUGUGUGGGGGGGGUGUGUGUGGGGGGGUGGCAUCUAGGCAGAGAGUGGUGUGUGGCAGGGGAGCUGGGCACAGGAUACAUCCUAGAGUCAUCCCUAGGGCUGGCUGGCCCAAGGGCUCCCUGCCUCCCCGAGCACAGAGCCUGGUGAGGGGCAGCCUCCUCUGGACUAGGAAGCAGGGAGUCACCGGCAGCCAUCACUGGUGCUUCACUCGGCGAUGGCUGCUUUACAAGGCACACACCGUCACCCCCACACCACCACGUCUCCACGAUCCCACUUCAUUUAUUACCAAAAUAUCACAGAAUUCCAGUCAUAGUUAACAUACAGAGAUUAACACAAACCUGAUACCUGCGGGAAGGACUAUGUAUUCGGACAAUCGCGUUGUUUUGGAAUCGUAAGGCCCCACACCGUGAGCACUCCGUACUCCAAAAAUACACUCUGAGAGCUUUGGAAACUGAAUUAAAAUGUCU